AAAGAGAAAUGAUCAGUAAAUUAUGAUACCAAAACAAUAAACAUGAGGGUUCCUCUUGAUUUAUUUCUGUUUCCGACCUUGCCAAUUUUAGAACCAGUAUGAUGAUGUCCAUCCAUCCAUCAACGAGCAUAGCCACAAGUAUCAUAAAUGUCACAAAUUUGAAAAUGAGUAUAUUUGAUAUUAUAACUUUUUGUUAGACAGAAUGAAAAAAUGGACUUUGUAGCCAAACCCCACCCUAGACAGGUAUAUGAUAAGUAUUGAAGGGUAUCAUGGAAUUGUCCCAUAGUUAAAAUAUAGAAGAACUUACAAUCUUCACAUAGGAGAAAUCG
rnacentral:lncRNA from 1 species